UACGGGGGGUGCUAGCGUUAUUCGGAAUCAUUGGGCGUAAAGGGCGCGUAGGCGGUCCUGUAAGUCAGAUGUGAAAUCCUUUCGCUUAACGGAAGAAGUGCAUUUGAAACUGCAGGACUUGAGUAUGGGAGAGGGAAGUGGAAUUCCUGGUGUAGAGGUGAAAUUCGUAGAUAUCAGGAGGAACACCCGUGGCGAAGGCGACUUCCUGGACCAAUACUGACGCUGAGGCGCGAAGGCGUGGGGAGCAAACAGGAUUAGAUACCCUGGUAGUCCACGCAGUAAACGUUGAUCACUAGGUGUAGCGGGUAUUUACCCCUGCUGUGCCGAAGCUAACGCAUUAAGUGAUCCGCCUGGGAAGUACGGUCGCAAGAUUAAA
rnacentral:rRNA from 1 species